GCAGCUAAUUGCCAUCAGCCUGGCCAGAGGAUUUAAGGAGCGGUGCUGCCAUACCUCAAUGCCGGUUGAUACUCUACUGUUGGCCCUGGAUUCCCUCCACCUGCCUGAGGUGUGAUUUAUCACAAGCGUCGUUCAGCUUCCCUGGCCUCCUGCUCUCCACCGCUCACCUGCCUUCCUGGAUCCAGCAUCACCUCCAGCGACCAUCUCCUCCCUGCAUCAACCUGACUUGCCUCUCCCUCCUGCCCCUCGUCCUGCUCAACUCAAGUCGGAGUUGCCUUGUUUCCUGUCCCGUUUGGAUCAGCGCCCUCAGUUUUUGCUUUGUUUUCUUUAUAAAAUAAAGAUUUUAUUAUCAUCUCUUACCCUAUCCCUGAGU